GAUGAAGAACGCAGCGAAAUGCGAUAAGUAAUGUGAAUUGCAGAAUUCAGUGAAUCAUCGAAUCUUUGAACGCAUCUUGCGCUCCUUGGUAUUCUGAGGAGCAUGCCUGUUUGAGUGUCAUUAAAUUCUCAACUACACUGACUUUGAAUUGGUGUGGCUUGGAUUUGGGGGGAAAAUUGUUGUGGGCUUUUUGUAUAGUCUGCUCCCCUGAAAUUGAUUAGCGGUACCUUUGUGGAACUGUCUACAGGUGUGAUAAUUAUCUACAUCUUAGACAUCUGCUGGAAUGCUGCUCUCUAAACCUUACUUGUAUUGACAAUCUUGACCUCAAAUCAGGUAGGACUACCCGCUGAACUUAAGCAUAUCAAUAAGCUGAGGA
rnacentral:misc_RNA from 1 species